GAGUUUGAUCCUGGCUCAGAUUGAACGCUGGCGGCAGGCCUAACACAUGCAAGUCGAGCGGUAGAGAGAAGCUUGCUUCUCUUGAGAGCGGCGGACGGGUGAGUAAAGCCUAGGAAUCUGCCUGGUAGUGGGGGAUAACGUUCGGAAACGGACGCUAAUACCGCAUACGUCCUACGGGAGAAAGCAGGGGACCUUCGGGCCUUGCGCUAUCAGAUGAGCCUAGGUCGGAUUAGCUAGUUGGUGAGGUAAUGGCUCACCAAGGCGACGAUCCGUAACUGGUCUGAGAGGAUGAUCAGUCACACUGGAACUGAGACACGGUCCAGACUCCUACGGGAGGCAGCAGUGGGGAAUAUUGGACAAUGGGCGAAAGCCUGAUCCAGCCAUGCCGCGUGUGUGAAGAAGGUCUUCGGAUUGUAAAGCACUUUAAGUUGGGAGGAAGGGCAUUAACCUAAUACGUUAAGUGUUUGACGUUACCGACAGAAUAAGCACCGGUUAACUCUGUUCCAGCAGCCGCGGUAAUACAGAGGGUGCAAGCGUUAAUCGGAAUUACUGGGCGUAAAGCGCGCGUAGGUGGUUUGUUAAGUUGGAUGUGAAAUCCCCGGGCUCAACCUGGGAACUGCAUUCAAAAUUGACUGACUAGAGUAUGGUAGAGGGUGGUGGAAUUUCCUGUGUAGCGGUGAAAUGCGUAGAUAUAGGAAGGAACACCAGUGGCGAAGGCGACCACCUGGACUAAUACUGACACUGAGGUGCGAAAGCGUGGGGAGCAAACAGGAUUAGAUACCCUGGUAGUCCACGCCGUAAACGAUGUCAACUAGCCGUUGGGAGCCUUGAGCUCUUAGUGGCGCAGCUAACGCAUUAAGUUGACCGCCUGGGGAGUACGGCCGCAAGGUUAAAACUCAAAGGAAUUGACGG
rnacentral:rRNA from 1 species